rnacentral:rRNA from 1 species
UUCGUCACACUAUCAUUAACUGAAUCCAUAGGUUAAUGAGGCGAACCGGGGGAACUGAAACAUCUAAGUACCCCGAGGAAAAGAAAUCAACCGAGAUUCCCCCAGUAGCGGCGAGCGAACGGGGAGGAGCCCAGAGCCUGAAUCAGUGUGUGUGUUAGUGGAAGCGUCUGGAAAGGCGCGCGAUACAGGGUGACAGCCCCGUACACAAAAAUGCACAUAUUGUGAGCUCGAUGAGUAGGGCGGGACACGUGGUAUCCUGUCUGAAUAUGGGGGGACCAUCCUCCAAGGCUAAAUACUCCUGACUGACCGAUAGUGAACCAGUACCGUGAGGGAAAGGCGAAAAGAACCCCGGCGAGGGGAGUGAAAAAGAACCUGAAACCGUGUACGUACAAGCAGUGGGAGCCUCUUAAUGGGGUGACUGCGUACCUUUUGUAUAAUGGGUCAGCGACUUAUAUUCUGUAGCAAGGUUAACCGAAUAGGGGAGCCGAAGGGAAACCGAGUCUUAACUGGGCGUUAAGUUGCAGGGUAUAGACCCGAAACCCGGUGAUCUAGCCAUGGGCAGGUUGAAGGUUGGGUAACACUAACUGGAGGACCGAACCGACUAAUGUUGAAAAAUUAGCGGAUGACUUGUGGCUGGGGGUGAAAGGCCAAUCAAACCGGGAGAUAGCUGGUUCUCCCCGAAAGCUAUUUAGGUAGCGCCUCGUGAAUUCAUCUCCGGGGGUAGAGCACUGUUUCGGCAAGGGGGUCAUCCCGACUUACCAACCCGAUGCAAACUGCGAAUACCGGAGAAUGUUAUCACGGGAGACACACGGCGGGUGCUAACGUCCGUCGUGAAGAGGGAAACAACCCAGACCGCCAGCUAAGGUCCCAAAGUCAUGGUUAAGUGGGAAACGAUGUGGGAAGGCCCAGACAGCCAGGAUGUUGGCUUAGAAGCAGCCAUCAUUUAAAGAAAGCGUAAUAGCUCACUGGUCGAGUCGGCCUGCGCGGAAGAUGUAACGGGGCUAAACCAUGCACCGAAGCUGCGGCAGCGACACUAUGUGUUGUUGGGUAGGGGAGCGUUCUGUAAGCCUGUGAAGGUGGCCUGUGAGGGUUGCUGGAGGUAUCAGAAGUGCGAAUGCUGACAUAAGUAACGAUAAAGCGGGUGAAAAGCCCGCUCGCCGGAAGACCAAGGGUUCCUGUCCAACGUUAAUCGGGGCAGGGUGAGUCGACCCCUAAGGCGAGGCCGAAAGGCGUAGUCGAUGGGAAACAGGUUAAUAUUCCUGUACUUGGUGUUACUGCGAAGGGGGGACGGAGAAGGCUAUGUUGGCCGGGCGACGGUUGUCCCGGUUUAAGCGUGUAGGCUGGUUUUCCAGGCAAAUCCGGAAAACCAAGGCUGAGGCGUGAUGACGAGGCACUACGGUGCUGAAGCGACAAAUGCCCUGCUUCCAGGAAAAGCCUCUAAGCAUCAGGUAACAUCAAAUCGUACCCCAAACCGACACAGGUGGUCAGGUAGAGAAUACCAAGGCGCUUGAGAGAACUCGGGUGAAGGAACUAGGCAAAAUGGUGCCGUAACUUCGGGAGAAGGCACGCUGAUAUGUAGGUGAAGCGACUUGCUCGUGGAGCUGAAAUCAGUCGAAGAUACCAGCUGGCUGCAACUGUUUAUUAAAAACACAGCACUGUGCAAACACGAAAGUGGACGUAUACGGUGUGACGCCUGCCCGGUGCCGGAAGGUUAAUUGAUGGGGUUAGCGGUAACGCGAAGCUCUUGAUCGAAGCCCCGGUAAACGGCGGCCGUAACUAUAACGGUCCUAAGGUAGCGAAAUUCCUUGUCGGGUAAGUUCCGACCUGCACGAAUGGCGUAAUGAUGGCCAGGCUGUCUCCACCCGAGACUCAGUGAAAUUGAACUCGCUGUGAAGAUGCAGUGUACCCGCGGCAAGACGGAAAGACCCCGUGAACCUUUACUAUAGCUUGACACUGAACAUUGAGCCUUGAUGUGUAGGAUAGGUGGGAGGCUUUGAAGUGUGGACGCCAGUCUGCAUGGAGCCGACCUUGAAAUACCACCCUUUAAUGUUUGAUGUUCUAACGUUGGCCCGUAAUCCGGGUUGCGGACAGUGUCUGGUGGGUAGUUUGACUGGGGCGGUCUCCUCCUAAAGAGUAACGGAGGAGCACGAAGGUUGGCUAAUCCUGGUCGGACAUCAGGAGGUUAGUGCAAUGGCAUAAGCCAGCUUGACUGCGAGCGUGACGGCGCGAGCAGGUGCGAAAGCAGGUCAUAGUGAUCCGGUGGUUCUGAAUGGAAGGGCCAUCGCUCAACGGAUAAAAGGUACUCCGGGGAUAACAGGCUGAUACCGCCCAAGAGUUCAUAUCGACGGCGGUGUUUGGCACCUCGAUGUCGGCUCAUCACAUCCUGGGGCUGAAGUAGGUCCCAAGGGUAUGGCUGUUCGCCAUUUAAAGUGGUACGCGAGCUGGGUUUAGAACGUCGUGAGACAGUUCGGUCCCUAUCUGCCGUGGGCGCUGGAGAACUGAGGGGGGCUGCUCCUAGUACGAGAGGACCGGAGUGGACGCAUCACUGGUGUUCGGGUUGUCAUGCCAAUGGCACUGCCCGGUAGCUAAAUGCGGAAGAGAUAAGUGCUGAAAGCAUCUAAGCA